GAUGAACGCUAGCGGGAGGCCUAACACAUGCAAGCCGAGCGGUAUUGUUUCUUCGGAAAUGAGAGAGCGGCGUACGGGUGCGGAACACGUGUGCAACCUGCCUUUAUCUGGGGGAUAGCCUUUCGAAAGGAAGAUUAAUACUCCAUAACAUAUUGAUUGGCAUCAAUUAAUAUUGAAAGCUCCGGCGGAUAGAGAUGGGCACGCGCAAGAUUAGCUAGUUGGCGAGGUAACGGCUCACCAAGGCGAUGAUCUUUAGGGGGCCUGAGAGGGUGAUCCCCCACACUGGUACUGAGACACGGACCAGACUCCUACGGGAGGCAGCAGUGAGGAAUAUUGGUCAAUGGGUGCAAGCCUGAACCAGCCAUCCCGCGUGAAGGACGACUGCCCUAUGGGUUGUAAACUUCUUUUGUAUAGGGAUAAACCUACCCUCGUGAGGGUAGCUGAAGGUACUAUACGAAUAAGCACCGGCUAACUCCGUGCCAGCAGCCGCGGUAAUACGGAGGGUGCAAGCGUUAUCCGGAUUUAUUGGGUUUAAAGGGUCCGUAGGCGGACUUAUAAGUCAGUGGUGAAAGCCUGUCGCUUAACGAUAGAACUGCCAUUGAUACUGUAAGUCUUGAGUAUAUUUGAGGUAGCUGGAAUAAGUAGUGUAGCGGUGAAAUGCAUAGAUAUUACUUAGAACACCAAUUGCGAAGGCAGGUUACCAAGAUAUAACUGACGCUGAGGGACGAAGGCGUGGGGAGCGAACAGGAUUAGAUACCCUGGUAGUCCACGCCGUAAACGAUGCUAACUCGUUUUUGGGCUUUAGGGUUCAGAGACCAAGCGAAAGUGAUAAGUUAGCCACCUGGGGAGUACGCUCGCAAGAGUGAAACUCAAAGGAAUUGACGGGGGCCCGCACAAGCGGUGGAUUAUGUGGUUUAAUUCGAUGAUACGCGAGGAACCUUACCAAGACUUAAAUGGGAAUUGACAGCUUUAGAAAUAGAGCUUUCUUCGGACAAUUUUCAAGGUGCUGCAUGGUUGUCGUCAGCUCGUGCCGUGAGGUAUUAGGUUAAGUCCUGCAACGAGCGCAACCCCUGUCACUAGUUGCCAUCAUUCAGUUGGGGACUCUAGUGAGACUGCCUACGCAAGUAGAGAGGAAGGUGGGGAUGACGUCAAAUCAUCACGGCCCUUACGUCUUGGGCCACACACGUAAUACAAUGGCCGGUACAGAGGGCAGCUACACAGCGAUGUGAUGCAAAUCUCGAAAGCCGGUCUCAGUUCGGAUUGGAGUCUGCAACUCGACUCUAUGAAGCUGGAAUCGCUAAUAAUCGCGCAUCAGCCAUGGCGCGGUGAAUACGUUCCCGGGCCU
rnacentral:rRNA from 1 species